UACGGAGGGUGCGAGCGUUAAUCGGAAUUACUGGGCGUAAAGCGCGCGUAGGCGGUUAGUUAAGUCGGAUGUGAAAGCCCUGGGCUCAACCUGGGAACUGCAUUCGAUACUGGCCAACUAGAGUGCGAGAGAGGGAGGUAGAAUUCCACGUGUAGCGGUGAAAUGCGUAGAUAUGUGGAGGAAUACCGGUGGCGAAGGCGGCCUCCUGGCUCGACACUGACGCUGAGGGACGAAAGCGUGGGGAGCGAACAGG
rnacentral:rRNA from 1 species